rnacentral:lncRNA from 1 species
AUCAGAACAAUGUAAGAUAAAAUUAACAGAAUCCCAAGACUGUACAGUAUACGGUAUGUUUACUUGAGGCAGACAGAAUCAUUAUGGACCUUUUUUUCUCUCUUAAGACUGACAGUCCACAAAUUAAAAAGCUCAAUUCUACAUGAUGGUAAUGGCAGAAGAAUGCUUCAGAAUGCAUGCAGCCAUAGUUAGAUCAGGUUGAAUGCUUCCCCUUCUAGUCACACACACACACACACACAAUGAGCAUGGCUACAACACAGGAAGCUGACUAUAUAAUGGUGCCGGAGGGGAUGGCUGCCGUUUUAUGGCUGAAAUUUAUGGGCUCAAACUCAUUUUGUACAUAAUGUUGCUACUAACGUCUUUAACGAAAAUAGCUUCUGGACAUCAGAACAGCACAACUCACCUCGAACUGGACAAAGAUUUCUUCUUUAAUGAGUCCAACGCAAAGGAUAUACUGCUUCCCAGAGACCAGGCACAAAUCCCUGUCAUUCGUGUGAAGAAAAGAUGGAAAUACAGUGGGCGGAGGUCUGGGCGCAUUGUGAGAAUUCGUCGCCAAGACCAUGACCCAACACACCUCCAGGCUGUGUAAGGGCUAUUUUACCAAGAAGGAGUGUGAUGCAGUGCUGCAUUCGAUUACCUGGUUUGGGAUGAAUUGGACAGCAGAGUGAAGGAAAAGCAGCCAACAAGUGCUCAGCAUACAUGGGAACUCUUUCAAGACUGUUGGGAAAGCAUUCCAGGUGAAGCUGGUUGAGAGAAUACCAAGAGUGUGCAGAGCUGUGUGCAGAGCCGUUUGUCAAAUGCUAGCAUGGCACGCUAAAACCAGAUGACUGCUACAGAACCAAAAACAUAGGAGAGCAAGAGGGC